GCUGGUGUGGCUCAGUGGGUAGAGCGUUGUUCUGCCAGCUGAAGGGUCCCGGGUUCGAUUCCCGGUCAAGGGCA
rnacentral:tRNA from 1 species